rnacentral:rRNA from 1 species
UAGGGAAUUUUCGUCAAUGGGGGAAACCCUGAACGAGCAAUGCCGCGUGAGUGAAGAAGGUCUUCGGAUCGUAAAGCUCUGUUGUAAGUGAAGAACGGCUCAUAGAGGAAAUGCUAUGGGAGUGACGGUAGCUUACCAGAAAGCCACGGCUAACUACGUGCCAGCAGCCGCGGUAAUACGUAGGUGGCUAGCGUUAUCCGGAAUCAUUGGGCGUAAAGGGUGCGUAGGUGGCGUACUAAGUCUGUAGUAAAAGGCAAUGGCUCAACCAUUGUAAGCUAUGGAAACUGGUAUGCUGGAGUGAAGAAGAGGGCGAGGGAAUGCCAGGUGUAGCGGUAAAAUGCGUAGAUAUAUGGAGGAACACCAGUGGCGAAGGCGGUCGCCUGGUCUGUAACUGACACUGAGGCACGAAAGCGUGGGGAGCAAAUAGG